rnacentral:misc_RNA from 1 species
GGAAGUAAAAUCGUAACAAGGUCUCCGUUGGUGAACCAGCGGAGGGAUCAUUACAGAGUUGCAAAACUCCCAAACCAUUGUGAACGUUACCUAUCCCGUUGCUUCGGCGGGCGGCCCGGGCCCCGCGCCCGGCGCCCCCCGGCCCCCCGUGGGCGCCCGCCGGAGGUAAACCAAACCCUUGAAUUGCAUGGCCUCUCUGAGUCUUCUGUACUGAAUAAGUCAAAACUUUCAACAACGGAUCUCUUGGUUCCG